UACGUAGGGUGCGAGCGUUGUCCGGAAUUAUUGGGCGUAAAGGGCUCGUAGGCGGUUUGUCGCGUCGGGAGUGAAAACUCAGGGCUUAACCCUGAGCCUGCUUCCGAUACGGGCAGACUAGAGGUAUGCAGGGGAGAUCGGAAUUCCUGGUGUAGCGGUGAAAUGCGCAGAUAUCAGGAGGAACACCGGUGGCGAAGGCGGAUCUCUGGGCCUUACCUGACGCUCAGGUGCGAAAGCUAGGGGAGCGAACAGG
rnacentral:rRNA from 1 species